rnacentral:lncRNA from 1 species
GAGUCUUGUGGUUUGUUUUAGUGUUUUAAAGUAUAGUUUUGCAUUCUUUGAGUCUAGUUAGUGUUUUAAACUUUGUUUUUACGUUUUCAAGUCAGUUUCCAAGUGAUUUAGCAAUCCCUCCUAAUCUCCGGCCUAGAACGAUCCCUACUUACAUACUUUACUACAAUUGAUAAAAAGAGGGUUUAAUUUUGUGUGUUAACUUAUUUUUCACAUCAUCUUCUCUAAGGGAGAGUGACUAGUCUCGAGUCAUUGGUCUGUGUGACAUCAAGACAAGUACGUAGGUGCUCAAUAGAGAAUGAGUUCACUGAACACGAUCAACGAAGAGUUCUCAUAUUCAUGUCACAUGAGAACUCAUGGUUGGGAUAAUGCAAAGUAGUCCUUUGACCUGAGGCAUCAUAGUUGUCUUGUGGUUAAGUCCUUGAUCUUUAAUUAUGUCAAAGUCACUCCAUCAUGAGGGUGUCCACGGCAUAGUUGGGGUUAAGCCACUUAGCUAUGGAGGCAAGUGAAUGCGCAACAAGGGAUCUCUAACCUUCAAACCGUUUGG